CUGUGAAUAAUCUUGCUGUUCUGAUUUUGUCAUAAUCAGGACAGGCUAACCUUAUUCGUUAUAUUAAGACCAUGCAUGUGUCCCCAGACCUAGGUCUUUACCCACCUAGGUCUGGUCUUAGUAAUGCUGGUGAUAAAU